CAGGCCUAACACAUGCAAGUCGAACGGUAACAGGAAGCAGCUUGCUGCUUCGCUGACGAGUGGCGGACGGGUGAGUAAUGUCUGGGAAACUGCCUGAUGGAGGGGGAUAACUACUGGAAACGGUAGCUAAUACCGCAUAACGUCGCAAGACCAAAGAGGGGGACCUUCGGGCCUCUUGCCAUCGGAUGUGCCCAGAUGGGAUUAGCUAGUAGGUGGGGUAACGGCUCACCUAGGCGACGAUCCCUAGCUGGUCUGAGAGGAUGACCAGCCACACUGGAACUGAGACACGGUCCAGACUCCUACGGGAGGCAGCAGUGGGGAAUAUUGCACAAUGGGCGCAAGCCUGAUGCAGCCAUGCCGCGUGUAUGAAGAAGGCCUUCGGGUUGUAAAGUACUUUCAGCGGGGAGGAAGGCGAUAAGGUUAAUAACCUUGUCGAUUGACGUUACCCGCAGAAGAAGCACCGGCUAACUCCGUGCCAGCAGCCGCGGUAAU
rnacentral:rRNA from 1 species